rnacentral:lncRNA from 1 species
AGCCCCUAGCGCAGACGGCGGAGAGCAGAGAGGGAGCGCGCCUUGGCUCGCUGGCCUUGGCGGCGGCUCCUCAGGAGAGCUGGGGCGCCCACGAGAGGAUCCCUCACCCGGGUCUCUCCUCAGGGAUGACAUCAUCCGUCCACCUCCUUGUCUUCAAGGACCACCUCCUCUCCAUGCUGAGCUGCUGCCAAGGGGCCUGCUGCCCAUCUACACCUCACGAGGGCACUAGGAGCACGGUUUCCUGGAUCCCACCAACAUACAAAGCAGCCACUCACUGACCCCCAGGACCAGGAUGGCAAAGGAUGAAGAGGACCGGAACUGACCAGCCAGCUGUCCCUCUUACCUAAAGACUUAAACCAAUGCCCUAGUGAGGGGGCAUUGGGCAUUAAGCCCUGACCUUUGCUAUGCUCAUACUUUGACUCUAUGAGUACUUUCCUAUAAGUCUUUGCUUGUGUUCACCUGCUAGCAAACUGGAGUGUUUCCCUCCCCAAGGGGGUGUCAGUCUUUGUCGACUGACUCUGUCAUCACCCUUAUGAUGUCCUGAAUGGAAGGAUCCCUUUGGGAAAUUCUCAGGAGGGGGACCUGGGCCAAGGGCUUGGCCAGCAUCCUGCUGGCAACUCCAAGGCCCUGGGUGGGCUUCUGGAAUGAGCAUGCUACUGAAUCACCAAAGGCACGCCCGACCUCUCUGAAGAUCUUCCUAUCCUUUUCUGGGGGAAUGGGGUCGAUGAGAGCAACCUCCUAGGGUUGUUGUGAGAAUUAAAUGAGAUAAAAGAGGCCUCAGGCAGGAUCUGGCAUAGAGGAGGUGAUCAGCAAAUGUUUGUUGAAAAGGUUUGACAGGUCAGUCCCUUCCCACCCCUCUUGCUUGUCUUACUUGUCUUAUUUAUUCUCCAACAGCACUCCAGGCAGCCCUUGUCCACGGGCUCUCCUUGCAUCAGGACGAAUAAUUUAUGGUCAGUGAAAAUCCAGGCCCCAGUGAGAUUCGAGUGGGCUGUAAAAUCGAGAGUCCUGCUCCCACAGGUUCCCAGUGCCCCCGACAAGCCCCUGCUGGUGUCUCCAUCUCCUGCCAAGCAUCCUCCAGUGCCUCCUCCUGUGGGCCUGGCCUCAGGGCUAUGGACAGACUCCUGUCCCAUCCCAGAGACCCCUCGUGAUCGUGCCCUGGCACGUGGGCCGUGGCCCGGCUGGGUCGGCUGAAGAACUGCGGAUGGAAGCUGCGGAAGAGGCCCUGAUGGGGCCCACCAUCCCGGACCCAAGUCUUCUUCCUGGCGGGCCUCUCGUCUCCUUCCUGGUUUGGGCGGAAGCCAUCACCUGGAUGCCUACGUGGGAAGGGACCUCGAAUGUGGGACCCCAGCCCCUCUCCAGCUCGAAAUCCCUCCACAGCCACGGGGACACCCUGCACCUAUUCCCACGGGACAGGCUGGACCCAGAGACUCUGGACCCGGGGCCUCCCCUUGAGUAGAGACCCGCCCUCUGACUGAUGGACGCCGCUGACCUGGGGUCAGACCCGUGGGCUGGACCCCUGCCCACCCCGCAGGAACCCUGAGGCCUAGGGGAGCUGUUGAGCCUUCAGUGUCUGCAUGUGGGAAGUGGGCUCCUUCACCUACCUCACAGGGCUGUUGUGAGGGGCGCUGUGAUGCGGUUCCAAAGCACAGGGCUUGGCGCACCCCACUGUGCUCUCAAUAAAUGUGUUUCCUGUCUUAACAA